rnacentral:rRNA from 1 species
CCUACGUGAGGCAGCAGUGGGGAAUCUUGCACAAUGGGGGGAACCCUGAUGCAGCGACGCCGCGUGGGUGAAGGAGCACCUCGGUGCGUAAAGCCCUGUCGGCAGGGAAGAAAGGCGGGCUGUGCCCGUCUUGACGGUACCUGACUAAGAAGCCCCGGCUCACUACGUGCCAGCAGCCGCGGUAGUACUUCGGGGGCAAGCGUUAUCCGCGUUCCCUUGGUGUAAAGGGGGCGUAGACGGCGACGCCAGUCUGGAGUGGAAGCCCGGGGCCCAGCCCCGGGACUGCUUUGGAAACUGCGGCGCGGGAGGACGGGAGGGGCAGGCGGAAUUCCUGGUGGAGCGGGGAAAUGCGUAGAUAGCAGGAGGAACACCGGCGGCGAAGGCGGCCUGCUGGACCGUGACUGACG